rnacentral:rRNA from 1 species
GACGAACCGUGCAACCGUUAUUCGGAAUCACUGGGCAUAAAGGGCGCGUAGGCGGCUCCAAAAGUCAGGGGUGAAAUCCGGCAGCUUAACUGUCGCAGUGCCUUUGAUACUGUGGAGCUAGAGGGAGGUAGGGGUCUGUGGAACUUCCGGUGGAGCGGUGAAAUGCGUUGAUAUCGGAAGGAACGCCGAUGGCGAAAGCGACGGACUGGAUCUCUUCUGACGCUGAGGCGCGAAAGCCAGGGGAGCAAACGGG